rfam:Trichosporon oleaginosus strain IBC0246 unplaced genomic scaffold CC85scaffold_9, whole genome shotgun sequence.
GGCAACUUGGCGGAGUGGUUAACGCGAUUGACUCGAACCUCCUAGCACAAACAUAGGGUGUCUAUCAAUUUCCUUCGGGAGCGCAUGUUCGAAUCAUGCAGUUGUCG